AGAGUUUGAUCCUGGCUCAGAUUGAACGCUGGCGGCAUGCCUUACACAUGCAAGUCGAACGGUAGAGGGGCAACCCUUGAGAGUGGCGAACGGGUGAGUAAUGCAUCGGAACGUGCCCAGUCGUGGGGGAUAACGCAGCGAAAGCUGUGCUAAUACCGCAUGUGAUCUGUGGAUGAAAGCAGGGGACUUGGUAGCAAUACUGGGCCUUGUGCGAUUGGAGCGGCCGAUGUCAGAUUAGCUAGUUGGUAGGGUAAAAGCCUACCAAGGCGACGAUCUGUAGCUGGUCUGAGAGGACGACCAGCCACACUGGGACUGAGACACAGCCCAGACUCCUACGGGAGGCAGCAGUGGGGAAUUUUGGACAAUGGGCGCAAGCCUGAUCCAGCAAUGCCGCGUGCAGGACGAAGGCCUUCGGGUUGUAAACUGCUUUUGUACGGAGCGAAACGGUCUGGGUUAAUACCCUAGGCUAAUGACGGUACCGUAAGAAUAAGCACCGGCUAACUACGUGCCAGCCGCCGCGGUAAUUC
rnacentral:rRNA from 1 species